UCUACACCAGCCUUUGUCUGCAUCAGCCUUCCUGCUUCUCAUCGUCUGCAGCUCCUUGAAGGCGGCCACGUGUUGCGGCUCACACUAGUGGCUUAGCAGCAACUCCUUCCUCUCCGCCUGAAAUAGUUUGUGUUUUACCCUGGGAUCAUCAUUGCGAGUUUGAAGGUGUCUUUGAUACAGGAGACUUACUCAAGGACCAAAAAAGCCGGAAGAGAUGCUUAGGUGAAAAAACACAGGAUGGAAUUCAGGAGUGAUGUGUUCUUCCUGUUGUCUGUCCAGCCUACAUGAUCUGAGAUCUACUCCAAAGGCUUGAUGUUCUGCAUUGAGAAGCAAUAGCACAUAAAUAGCUAUCCAAGACUCCGUGUCCUUCUGGAGAUGGGGAGGUCUGAAACAUCGCAGCCCUCCUGCAGUGGAGGCACCAGAUCUUUAUAUGGAGGCAAAACAAUACCUGCCUUGUUUUAUGCCUGUCCUGAUAUACCAAAUAUUUUAUUGGCUUUUUUUGACCAUGACCACACCCUGCAGCACUGUGAGUCUAAAGGCUCUUUCCAGAGCUGUAACUGACAGUUCCAAGUUCAGCAUUACACAAGGGUAACACAGAUGUGGAUUUCCUCUAAGUGCAGUAUUCCCUGCCAUUUGUCUACACCAAACCCAUUCUGGGUGCUUACUCUGCUUCGUGGGGCUCUUCUGGAGUUUCUAACUGUUAGGGUGGCACCUGCCCCCUCAGGAAGAGCUUAAUAGAUUUCUACAAAAGAUAGCAGGAGGGCAAGAAAGAAGAUACCAAAGGAAAGUACACGGGAGUUUUGUUGUAGUUUUGGUUUUUUAGGGGUUGUUUUGUUUCUUCAUUGUGGGGUUUUAGGUUGUUUUUCUCUUUUGGUACUAGCAUGUGGAAUUUUUAUAUUCUCCUCAUGAUGUGCUUUUUAAUUAUUUUUCUGUAUAUAGGCACAUGACUGUAGCAUAUGGUUGCAAAUUUCUGUUUAGAACAGUGACAGAAACAUAAGCAGAAUUCUGAGUUGUUUUUAUUACCUGGGUUUAUCCACUGUACAACCUGGAAGAGCUUUUUAAUUUAAAAGUACUUCAACAAAACUAUCAUGAAGAGAUUUCCACCACAAUUCUUGUUAUUUAAUCCAUACCUAUCAAUGAGGAAAAGCUGCAACUGGGGAGAAAAUAAAUGUCUCCAGCAACCCAGCCACAAUUGUCCACAGGUACACUGUACACAAGGAAGAGAAAAAUAAAAACAGCAAGGAAUAGCUGAAAAAGAAACUCCAUUAAAUUGGGUUUUGUAUAAUUUUGAAGUUUUCUCUAUUUUGCUGUUGCCAUUCCUACAUGGGACUGUUUCACCUCUGGAAAUUGAAUUUGAAGGCUUACAGUGAGCUUCUUCAGUAGUAUCAGAUCAGCUCACUUUUGGUUUCACUUACUGCUGACCUUUACUUGUGUUGCUCUGAUUAAUUUCUAAUUGUGACUACAGUCUAAUUACAGGCAAGGAACAUGAUUUAUUCCCCUUACUAAUCCUUGACCAAGACCUGGCUGAUUACUUGAUCUGGAACUCUCUCAGCAGGACCAGUAUGAGAUGAACAUGUAAUGAAGGACACGUGGUCAGCAUGUUUGGGCAGUAAAAAAGAAUUCUUCGUUCAAAAGAGGCAGCUCUUAGCUAAUUGCCUGUGGAAAAAAAUGAGGGUUGUGUUUGCAUGUUUACAUAGACAUCCAAGACUGUUUUUCCCAAGAACUUUUGAACCUGGGGGACAAUUUCAACAGAAUUAGGUGGGGGCAAGGUACAGAUCCUUUAGAAAAGCUCCAACUGUCCUUUGAAGAUAUGGGGCUGCAGAAAAGAGACCUAAUAGUGUUUUCAGCAAGGAAAGGUGGCAGCUGAAAGUCCCCUUCUCGCUGAACAACAGAGAACUGACACUGUAGAGGAACUUUAAAAAAACCCAAACAAUAACCAACCAACAUUUCACUAAGGAGAAAAAUGCAGUUGGAGAUUUAUCUUCCUAGACAAACAUCAUUCACAUGUUAAGACAUGCAUUUGUGGGAAACCUGGCCUCUUUAAUUACAGUGUGGCACAACUUGUACAGUGUGUUACACCUGAGCUCUGCAGCUGCAGACUGCCACAUGGUAGAUUUCUAUGUUGAUUUAAUUAUACACCUCUGUAAGAAGUAUCCAGGCUUACUCAAGAGUUGGCUGACAGCAUUUUAUGGUUCUCUAGAGGCACAUUUUUAACAGGAACUGAAUAUGUCUGUGUCUUUUGUGACUGGAACAUUGUAACUUUUCAUUCCAACCGAAAUACAAACUAUUUUCAGUUCAUAGAGUUUGCACUCCUAAACCAUGUGCCAGUUUGUCAGACAUCUGUUAGGCCUUCAAUACUCUCAAAGUGCCAACAGUUCAUACUUGUCUUCUGAGCCAGUAACAUCCUCUAAGAGUGACCAGGUUAGAAAUCAAAGUACUCUGAGUCUUGUUACACUUAGAACCUGAGGCACAGAAUUUGCUGUUUCCUGUAUCUUUUGGGUUACAGAACACUGUCAAACCCCUAAAUUUCUUGUUCACAUCAUGUACCUUUUACAUCACACCUUAAAAUAAAAACACCAUGAAGGCUGUUUGGUUGUAACUGAUAACUGUGGUUCCUUAACCUUUGAACAGCUUACCUGUCCUGUGGCUUACCAACAGUGUGCAGGUGGUACGCACACACCCUGCACGCCACAGCCAAAUAAAGCUUGACCACCCCAUAAAAGUUUUGUUUUCCAAUGUCAAAGCACACACUCAGCUACUCUGUGACACUUAAAAAUAAACUUUUGAAUUGAACUAUAAUAGUGGUUUGCCUGGAAACAUUGCACCCUAAGCUAGUAGCCCAGAAACUGACAAAUAGGAAAGUCAAACACAUGGCAGUGGUUUGGAGAAGGCUGCCAGGGAAUAUUAAGCAUUUCUUUCCUGUGAGCAAUCAGUGUCAUUUUCUUGCUCUUUCCCUAUGAAGAAGUCUCUCUCCCAGCCCUGAAACAACUUGAUGCCCUGAACUAUUUUCAGACCAACCAUUACCUUUACCAGUAAGUCAUUUCAGGUCUCAAGUGUGAUUUUUUUUUUUUCUGCUUGUAUGACAAAUGUUAUUGCUAUAAACCUUACAAUAAUAUGUUAGAUGUAUGUGUCUUGGAAUGUAAACCUUUAAAUAAAGCACAGAAUCUGUAUGGAGAA